rnacentral:rRNA from 1 species
UACGUAGGAUCCAAGCGUUGUCCGGAUUUACUGGGUGUAAAGGGUGCGCAGGCGGACCUGUUAGUCAGGGGUGAAAUCUCACAGCUUAACUGUGAAACUGUCUUUGAUACUGCAGGUCUUGGAUCCAGAAGAGAGUUGUGGAAUUCCGAGUGUAGCAGUGAAAUGUGUAGAUAUUCGGAAGAACACCAGUGGCGAAGGCAGCAACUUGGUCUGGUAUCGACGCUCAGGCACGAAAGCAUGGGGAUCAAACAGG